rnacentral:lncRNA from 1 species
UAUUCAUAUACCAUUUAUUGAAUAGUUCCACUCUAGUGGAUGAAAAGUCUGUACAAAACCAAACAUUUCAUUUACUUAGUCAAAUGCCAUUUACUUACUUAGUCAAACCAAUCUAAAAACAGUCAUCUCAAUCAAAACCCACUGCAAAUACAAUAGCUUCUUUGAAGCCAUGGUAACACUUAAAUACGGUUAAGACUUCAAUGCAGAAAUUUGGUUUCUUGAGAAAGCUCGAGCGAGCCUCAGCUUCUGAAAGUUACAAAAAGGCAAAACUGUGUUUCACAGAUACAGUCCACUGGAAUCACCAACACUGGACAAUAAGUACUUAGAGUCCUGAGAUAACAAGGGAACCUGGUAUCCUUUAGACUGUUUUCUGUUGUCCUUUCUUUCCAAUGAGAGAUUUGUGGAUAUGUGGUAUUACACCACCACCAGCAAUUGUUGCCUUAAUGAGCGAGUCCAAUUCUUCAUCUCCUCUAAUUGCAAGCUGCAAGUGACGGGGAGUGAUACGCUUCACCUUCAAGUCUUUGGAUGCAUUUCCUGCCAGCUCAAGAACCUCAGCUGUCAAGUACUCCAGGAUGGCAGCACUGUACACAGCAGCUGUUGCUCCAACACGCCCAUGGCUGGUAGUCCUGGACUUCAGGUGCCUGUGGAUGCGGCCUACAGGGAACUGCAAACCAGCCCGCUGAGAACGGGACACCGCUUUUGUCUUGGUCUUUCCGGAGUCCUUCCCAGCUUUGCCACCAGCCAUCGCGAACCGGACCGCCGCGCAGAGAUAAAUAGGAGGAAGAGAGCGUCCCGCAAGCACCGAGCCCGGACAACGGAACCGACCAGCCCCGACCCGCCGCGAUUCAAACUGCACCCGCUCCCGCCUUCCCCCGGCGCUUUAUAACCGCCGAGCCGCCUGCAUCCGGGAACCCCGGCCUCGCCGCCAGCCAAUGGCUGCGGGCGGAGGCAUGGCGCUCUGCCCCAGCGACAACCAAUGGCGGCGCGGGGCGGUGCCGGCCGCGCGCUGUGGCGCAGAGCGAGAGGCCCCGCCUCCAUUUAAAGGGACAGGCUCCGCGUGGGGGAGGGGGCGCCGCAGUGGCGGGACGGGGAGCGGCGCCGGAGGCCCUGGGAACGGUGGUGGGAUCGGGCCGCCGUCCUGGGUGCGGGGGAUCCGGCUGUGGUGGCCGUAGCCUGCCUAGGACUCAGCCUCAGCUGGCACAGACGUGCACUUGCUUCCUCUGGCAAGUGUGGUGUCACACUCCCGCGGCUGGCAGCCACCCUUUGUGUGUGUCACAUCCAGCGGCUGUAGGGGCCGGGGGGAGAGGUGCCCUCAUGACAACGACACGCACAUGCUCUGGGUUUUAUUUUUACCUCCGUCUUAUAUAAGAGGCACAUGUUAUCGAGGGCAGCCCUGCCUCAGACCUCCUGUUGAUGACUGUUCCACGAACCAAAUUCAGGUCUCUUCUCGACUGUAACAAAGCAGUGCAUCAACAGGGCACUCAAGUCCGUGUCUGUGUUUCCCCAACAAGACAUCUCGCCCCCAUUUUAUUUGAGAUAGCGUUUACAGCACACCGUCAGCAUUUGUCACUUCAGAAAAAGGUGACCCGCCCAUUCAGCCACAGUGCUCAUUCAAAUCCUUGUAUGUCAAAGCCAGUUGUCUCCUUGGAGGUUCAGCCUGCCAUGAUCUUACCAACCUCUUCACAAAACCACCACUCUACCUGAGUGUUCAUAGAAUCAUAUCAUAGGAUCAUAGAAUGGCUUGAGUUGGAAGGCACCUCAAAGACGACCUAGUUCCAACCCCCUGCCACGGGCAGGAUUGCCAGCCACUAAGUCAGGCACUAGAUCAGUCUGCCCAAGGACCCACUGAACCUGGCCUUGAACACCUCCAGAGAUGGGACACCCACAGCUUCUGUGGUCAGCCUGUUCCAGCACUACACCACCCUCUCAGUGAAAAAUUUCCCUGACACCUAAUAUGAAUCUCUUUUAGUUUAAAACCAUUCCCCCUUGUCCUUUCACUGUCUACCCAUGUAAAAAGUUGAUCUCUCUCCUGCUUACAAGCUCCCUUUAAGUACUGGAAGGUUGCUAUGAGGUCUCCCCUGAGCCUCCUCUAGGACGUACAAGCCCCUCAUCC